rnacentral:rRNA from 1 species
GAUCCUGGCUCGGGACGAACGCUGGCGGCGCGCCUAACACAUGCAAGUCGAACGAGCGAGAGAGAGCUUGCUUUCUCGGGCGAGUGGCGAACGGGUGAGUAACGCGUGAGGAACCUGCCUCAAAGAGGGGGACAACAGUUGGAAACGACUGCUAAUACCGCAUAAGCCCACGGCUCGGCAUCGAGCAGAGGGAAAAGGAGCAAUCCGCUUUGAGAUGGCCUCGCGUCCGAUUAG